CUUAUUUUCGUUUCUUCAUUCUGCUUCUUCUUUGUUCUCCUUCUGUAGAAUUUGAGUGAUGAAUUUGAGAGCACGUCUGAGAGUUCUUGAUUGAUGAAUCUAUUAUGAAGGCGAAGGAGGUGUUUUCGAUGUGAUUUAAGAAGACAGAGAUUUAGUAUUGCUUGAUUCUUGGGUUUUGAGACGAAUCAGGAUGAAGUGGAAUUAGGGUUUCUGUGAGUUGAUGAAGGUUUGGUUUGAGGUAACUGGAGAUUGGUUUAGUUGAUUGAAUUAAGGGUUGUGUUCAAUUGCUAAUUGAAUUGGUUUUGAUGUAAACUGAAGAGUUAAGGUUUCUUUGAUAAUCGAUGAGGGUGAAUAUGAUUAUGAGACUCAGAUCGAGAUAGAAGAAGAGUAGAGUUACUUUUAGUUGUUGGUGGUGGUGUUGAUUCAAGCGGCUGAUACAUAACCUGCAGAAAAGGUAGAGAUGAAAUUAUAGGUGUGGUCUGAGAGUUGAAUUUGGUGAUACAGAAGAUGAUUGUUGGAAUGUUUGUGAUUGAUAAUAGUAUGAAUGUGUUUUGAGAUGGAGAUGGUGGUAUGCAGUGACAGUGGUGUUGUGUGGAGUUGUGGUGUUGUUUGCAGAUUGUGCAGGAAGGGACGAAAUGAGUUAGAAUGGAUGUGAUUCCAGUGAAGAGAUGAAUGAACUGAAGUGGUGGUGGUGAUGUUGCUUAACUGAUUGUAUUGGGUUGAGCUACAAGUUGAGCUUAAUUGGUUUAGCAGAUUGAAAUGGUAGUGUGUUUGUGUUUAUGAAUUGGGUCUGAAUUGAGCUGAGCUAGUAACACUCUUGGAGUGAGUGAAACUAGGAAUUGAAGUCUGUGUAUGAACCUAAGAUGGGUAUAGAUCACAGGGAUUGGAUAAAUCAAAUUACAGCUGGUGGUGAUGUAGUUGUGGUGAUGUCAUAGUGGUGGUUGAGUUGAGUUUAGCUGUGGUGAUGUUGUAAUAUGCAGGAAAGGUGUAACUGAGAUGGUAGUUGUAGGAUUUUAGUUAGGUAUUGCUGUGAAAAGCUUAAAGCUGUAAUUGCAGGUAAACUUAGUUUGUAAUUGUAUUUGAGUUAUAAAAUUUUCUUUAAAUGAA